rnacentral:tRNA from 1 species
UCCCGGGUCGUCUAACGGCAGGACAUCAGGCUCUGAACCUGGUAAUCGGGGUUCGAAUCCCUGCCCGGGAA